CCUACGGGAGGCAGCAGUGGGGAAUAUUGCACAAUGGGGGAAACCCUGAUGCAGCGACGCCGCGUGAGUGAAGAAGUAUUUCGGUAUGUAAAGCUCUAUCAGCAGGGAAGCAAAUGACGGUACCUGAUUAAGAAGCCCCGGCUAACUACGUGCCAGCAGCCGCAGUAAUACUUAGGGGGCCAGCGUUAUCCGGAUUUACUGGGUGUAAAGGGAGCUUAGACGGCAGCACAAGUCUGGAGUGAACUGCCGGGGCUUAACCCCGGAACUUCUUUGGAAACUGUGCAGCUAGAGUGCAGGAGAGGUAAGUGGAAUGCCUAGUGUAGCGGUGAAAUGCGUAGAUAUUAGGAGGAACACCAGUGGCGAAGGCGGCUUACGGGACUGUAACUGACGUUGAGGCACGAAAGCGUGGGGAGCAAACAGGAUUAGAUACCCUAGUAGUC
rnacentral:rRNA from 1 species